GUGCCAGCAGCCGCGGGUAAUACGUAGGUGGCAAGCGUUGUCCGGAUUUAUUGGGCGUAAAGCGAGCGCAGGCGGUUUCUUAAGUCUGAUGUGAAAGCCUUCGGCUCAACCGAAGAAGUGCAUCGGAAACUGGGAAACUUGAGUGCAGAAGAGGACAGUGGAACUCCAUGUGUAGCGGUGAAAUGCGUAGAUAUAUGGAAGAACACCAGUGGCGAAGGCGGCUGUCUGGUCUGUAACUGACGCUGAGGCUCGAAAGCAUGGGUAGCAAACAGGAUUAGAUACCCUGGUAGUCCAUGCCGUAAACGAUGAGUGCUAGGUGUUGGAGGGUUUCCGCCCUUCAGUGCCGCAGCUAACGCAUUAAGCACUCCGCCUGGGGAGUACGACCGCAAGGUUGAAACUCAAAGGAAUUGACGGGGGCCCGCACAAGCGGUGGAGCAUGUGGUUUAAUUCGAAGCAACGCGAAGAACCUUACCAGGUCUUGACAUCCUUUGACCACUCUAGAGAUAGAGCUUUCCCUUCGGGGACAAAGUGACAGGUGGCGCAUGGUUGUCGUCAGCUCGUGUCGUGAGAUGUUGGGUUAAGUCCCGCAACGAGCGCAACCCUUAUUACUAGUUGCCAGCAUUUAGUUGGGCACUCUAGUGAGACUGCCGGUGACAAACCGGAGGAAGGUGGGGACGACGUCAAAUCAUCAUGCCCCUUAUGACCUGGGCUACACACGUGCUACAAUGGAUGGUACAACGAGUUGCGAGACCGCGAGGUUUAGCUAAUCUCUUAAAACCAUUCUCAGUUCGGAUUGUAGGCUGCAACUCGCCUACAUGAAGCCGGAAUCGCUAGUAAUCGCGGAUCAGCAUGCCGCGGUGAAUACGUUCCCGGGCCUUGUACACACCGCCCGU
rnacentral:rRNA from 1 species